GAAUAUGAAAGUGGUGUAUGCCUGGGAGUGUGGCGUGUAUGGUUCGUUUAACUGAAUCUAAUGUUUUUUAUUUUUUAACUGAACUGUUAGGCUCUUUUGUAACGUGAUUAACAGUAUAUUAUAAUCUUCUAAAAUUAGUUAUAUAGCAUGUUGAAAAUUAAAUUACAUUUUUAUAUUUUAUUUUUAUACACUUGAUUUUGUUAACUAGUUUUUUAUCAAAUGAAAACUCUAAAGCUGAUUUUGUUUUUAAUUGAUUUUGUUAAUUGCUUUACGAUUUGGUUUUUCAUUUUACUGGCUACCCCUAGUCUCUAUC
rnacentral:misc_RNA from 1 species